UACGUAGGGUGCGAGCGUUGUCCGGAAUUAUUGGGCGUAAAGAGCUCGUAGGCGGUCUGUCGCGUCGGUCGUGAAAACUUGGGGCUUAACCCUGAGCUUGCGGUCGAUACGGGCAUGACUGGAGUUCGGCAGGGGAGACUGGAAUUCCUGGUGUAGCGGUGAAAUGCGCAGAUAUCAGGAGGAACACCGGUGGCGAAGGCGGGUCUCUGGGCCACUACUGACGCUGAGGCGCGAAAGCGUGGGGAGCAAACAGG
rnacentral:rRNA from 1 species